rnacentral:rRNA from 1 species
AAGAAGGACGUGACAAGCUGCGAUAAGCUGUGGGUAGGAGCAAAUAUCCGACAAACCACAGAUUUCCGAAUGAGGGAACCCGCCUGUGGUAAUGUGCAGGCAUUCAUAAGUAAAUACAUAGCUUAUGAAAAGGUAACGCGGGGAACUGAAACAUCUAAGUACCCGUAGGAAGAGAAAGAAACAUCGAUUUUCCAAGUAGCGGCGAGCGAACGGGAAAGAGGCCAAACCACAUACAAGUAUGUGGGGUUGCGGAUCACAAUAAAGCGAGAGAAAGUCAGUCGAAUACAACUGGAAAGUUGAGACAAAGAGGGUAAUAUCCCCGUAGACGAAGAUGGAAACGAGCGAAGUGACACCAGAGUAGGAC